rnacentral:lncRNA from 1 species
GAGUAUCUAGGAAAGCUGUUCUCUGUCAGUGACUUUUUGUUGUUCUAUACUUACUCUUCAGCAAUAAUUCCCAUAAAAACGUGUAAGACAAGAUUACUCUGGGGACGCAGUAAACUUACUUAACAAACAUUCGCAGUCAUUGUGAAAGACACAUGGUGUAUAAAUAAAUUUUAUGCAUCUGCCCUUGAGGAUCUCACAAUCCUGAGGAAGCUCUGAAAAUACACCCCGUCAUUCACUGGGGGUCCUUACAGUGACCACGUCCUUGUAUUCUGAGGCUUGAGCCGAGGUACCAUGGCUUCCCCACAUCCGUGAGGGGCUGGCGUCCUCAGGAACCUUCACGCCCUGCCCUGCACCUUACAGCACGAUGUGCUAUAACUCUGAAUGGAACCUCAGGACUUAUAUGGAAUGUAACUAAAAGAAGCUGA